rnacentral:rRNA from 1 species
AGAGUUUGAUCCUGGCUCAGGACGAACGCUGGCGGCGCGCUUAACACAUGCAAGUCGCACGAGAAAGUGGAGCAAUCCAUGAGUACAGUGGCGUACGGGUGAGUAACACGUGGAUAAUCUGCCCUUUAGUGGGGAAUAACCCUGGGAAACCGGGGCUAAUACCGCAUAAGCCUGAGAAGGGAAAGCAGCAAUGCGCUGAA